rnacentral:lncRNA from 11 species
GAAAUGUGAGAACUCUACAAAGAACUUGGCUAGGAUUUCAUUUUGUAAAGAAGGACAUUCCUGCAUGGAUAGAACUGGAUAGAAGCAGCUCGGAUCAGCCAAGUUGGCUUUUGCUCAUUAAUUAACAGAUGCCCCCGAGUGAUAGUUCACAGUAUUGCAUACAGAAGUGAAGUAUGUUCCAAAAAGGAAUGAACUGCAUAAUGAGGUCUAUGAUAGUCGCCAGAGGCAAACACGCAGUCUUACAGAGCCAGAGCGAAGGGAAAAGAUGGAUUUUCUUCAAAAGACGGAUGCUACAGAGGAGAGAAACAUGGCCUCCUUGAGCGGAUCCAGAAAUGUUAUUCCCCCAGGAAGGACCAGACGUUCUAGUCUGGCUGUAGAAAAGAUCCACCAGAUAAGCAUGUACCCACAGCAGUGGGCCAAAUCAGUCCUGGACACAUACAUCCCCAUCCAGUUUUCAGUGAAGGUCAUCCAAUGGAGCAACCAAAGGCGUUUCUGUAUCACAACUAAACCUGAAACCAGAUCAAAUUGCAUCUGAAUAAUCUGCCUUAUUCAAGAAACCCUGGAGGUGACAAACCAUCAUAGACUCCAGUACCUCACCAGAAAUGGAAUAUUGGAAACUGGCCAGUAAUUAUCCUGUAGAGUUAAAAUUCCUCAACUAGUACAGUUCAAGCGUAAUGUUGCAAAGUGUUUGCCUCUGGCCUGAUCCAGCAGGACUCUUAUGUACAAAUCUAAUUCCACCAUCCAAAUUUCAACAUGCAAUCAGUGUUACAGAAAACAAAAAAGUCUUAUUCAUUUCAACUGAUUAACGUCAAUAAAGCCUUUAAGGAACAUAUUUCUUGAAGUCAAACCCAGCUCUAGCCAAAUGUAGAACAACACAUUCCCUUGGCAUUUGUAUCCAGCUGCACCCUGCCAAAACUCAGUUUGGUAUCAUGAUAAAAUCGUAAGAUUUCUAAUCUCUUGCCGGACUCUCAACAUUCAUCCCUCACUGGCUGGCCGCUAGCAAAGCUUCCUGUAUUUUUUAUUUUUGGCAGAUCCAACUCUUUUAUGUUUUUGCCAGGGGUGAUAGUAUUUAUAUGUAUUUGCCAUUGCUUUUACAAUCGUAUUUUCUGGUGCAACCAAAAAUCUAAUUGAAACAAGCACAGUCCUGUUUGACCCUAAGAACAAGAGGACAAGUGUGUUGAAACUAAGGAUGUUAAUUAGGUCUUUGCAAGUCACUAAACACCCUUUUUUAAAAGUUGCAGCUGUGAUAUGAUCAAACUGAUUAAAACUUUCCUGUUUACAGACUCAGUGGCACCUGGAUUUCAGAAGCUGAAAUGCUAGAUUCCUGCGUAGUGCAGGAAUUUUAAGACAUAAAGAAUGUAAAAAAGGAAACCCAACUCCAUCCUCAAAUCUUAAAGACCAAUCAAGUUAUCAUAACAUUUUAUGGUGAUACAGUUCCAGCUUGUAGAUCCUCCGACUGUCACAACAAUUCUUAGGACUGCUGCUCCUAGACUGGUGAUAAGGAAAACUCAAUGAGGCAGAAUAUCACCAAUGUACAAUAAAUGACUAAUAUCUUCAGCAAUUAUACAUUCUAAUCAGAAACCGAUCUAUUAAUUUCAGGAUGGCAAUGAAUAUUAAACUUAUAUGCAUAUCCUAAUAUCAGUGUUGAGAGCUUUGAGGGAAGAUCAAACCAGGCGUUUGGGGAGUAGCGCAAUACGGAAUCGGCAUAAUGUAGCAGCAUGAAUUAUGACUUCAGGACUGGGUGUCAUGUUUUUAAUAGUUUUAAUUGUAUUUACCUGUUUUAUUGCUAAUAUGUUGUAUUAUAUUGUAUAUUUGUAUUGAAUUUGUAGUAUUGAAUAUUGCCAAACUGUUAGCCACUCUGAGUCCCCUUUAGGUUGAGAUAGAGUGAGAUAGAAAUAUAUUAAAUAAACAAACAAAUAAACAAGAGGAAUCUCUCAACCCAAACCAUAUAUUGCUUUCACUAAGGGUUGAUCUACAUAUCCUGUAGAAUUAAUUAAGCAUAAUACCACUUUUAACUGCCAUGGCUCGAUGCUUUGGACUCCUGGGGGUUGUAGAUGGGUGAGGCAUCACUACUCUUUGCAAAGAAGGCUAAAAAGUUUGUAAAACUACAACUUUAAUAAUUCUGUAGCAUUGAGACAUGGCAGUUAAAAAAGAGACAAAAUAACUUGUGCUUUUGUUCUAACAGAAACAACAGAAAUCAGUGACUUGUGGUGUCAGAUUUUCAUCAUGUUUUAAUUAUAAAAUACUGCAUAAUUUAAUCUCAUAUAGCAUUUUAUGUCAAUAUUUGCACAACAGCACGGGGAAGAGAUGCAAAUAAUGCUUCAUUCAGUGUGCUGCAGGGUACGUGUGUCAAAGGCUACCCUGCUCCCUUUUCAACUCCCCAGUCCUCAUGUUUCUCUUUCCCAUGUUUACUCAAGGCUUACUCCUCUGUAGGCAUUUAUUCUUGGCUAAACACCACAACACUGUCAUCAUGUUGUCAAUCCUCAGAGAAUCAGGGCAAGCUAUAUUAUACAAAAAGCUUCCUCCACUGCCAACAAUGCUGACAUGGUUAUUGAUGUGUCUUGACCGUGAAACAAUGACUGCUAUUACUAGUGAUGCAAUUCAAUUUUGAGUCAGGUCACAAGCAGUUUCCUUGGUAUGGGGUGGGGGGUGGAGGUGGUAAUCAAUUUUGCUCGAGUGAAAUACUGCUUCAUUUUUUCUCACAUGAAAAUGGUUUAUCUUGCAAGAUUGUAAGACUAAUUCUUUGUGGGUCAGAUUCUAGACUAAUUCUCAGAACCUAUCUAGUUCUUCCCAAUGGAUGGAGUAAGUUAAAAAGAGAGAGAGAGACUUACAAAAUUAUGACAUAUACCAUUUAACUUAUUCUUGGCAUCUUGCUAGAAAAGGAAGCAGAUCAAUAUCACAUUCUCUAAGCAUCCAAAUAUAUUCUGCCUUCAGUUGUGCCUAUAUAAACAAUAAAAAAUAAUAAUUGUUUCCUUCAGUGUGCACAGACAAGCACAAUCUUUGGCUGCACUGCACAUCUUAUCAAUACACAUAAUCCAUGCCAAAGACAGUGUCAGUAACUAAGUAGUUAUGGUGCCAAAUUACCCCAGGUUCCAUAAUUCCUCCUUAAAUAGGUGUACACUGUUGCAAUUUUAGUCCACUUUUUUGUGUCAGGAGCAACUUGAGAAACUGCAAGUCGCUUGUGGUGUGAGAGAAUUGGCUGUCUGCAUGGACGUUGCUCGCGGGAUGCCUGGUUGUUUUGAUGUUUUACCAUCCUUGUGGGAGGCUUCUCUCAUGUCCCCGCAUGAAGCUGGAGCUGACAGAGCAAACUCAUCCAUGCUCAUCCCCAGGCAGGAUCCGAACCAGCAACCAUCAGGUCAGCAACCCAACCUUCAAGUCAGCAGUCUGCUGGCACAAGAG